GUAGGUGUAGUUUAAUGAAAACGUUAGGUUGUGAUUCUAAAAAAAGAGGUUGAAAUUCUCUUACUUACC
rnacentral:tRNA from 1 species